CAUCCAGCUUGCUGGAUGGGAAAGUGGCGCACGGGUGCGUAACGCGUAUGCAACCUACCUUAAUCAGGGGGAUAGCCCGAAGAAAUUCGGAUUAACACCGCAUAAAAUCACAGUACAGCAUUGUACAAUGAUCAAAUAUUUAUAGGAUUAAGAUGGGCAUGCGUGUCAUUAGCUAGUUGGCGGGGUAACGGCCCACCAAGGCGACGAUGACUAGGGGAUCUGAGAGGAUGGCCCCCCACACUGGUACUGAGACACGGACCAGACUCCUACGGGAGGCAGCAGUAAGGAAUAUUGGUCAAUGGAGGCAACUCUGAACCAGCCAUGCCGCGUGCAGGAAGACAGCCCUCUGGGUCGUAAACUGCUUUUAUUCGGGAAUAAACCUAUUUACGUGUAAAUAGCUGAAUGUACCGAAGGAAUAAGGAUCGGCUAACUCCGUGCCAGCAGCCGCGGUAAUACGGAGGAUCCAAGCGUUAUCCGGAUUUAUUGGGUUUAAAGGGUGCGUAGGCGGCCUGUUAAGUCAGGGGUGAAAGACGGUAGCUCAACUAUCGCAGUGCCCUUGAUACUGACGGGCUUGAAUGAACUAGAGGUAGGCGGAAUGUGACAAGUAGCGGUGAAAUGCAUAGAUAUGUCACAGAACACCGAUUGCGAAGGCAGCUUACUAUGGUUUUAUUGACGCUGAGGCACGAAAGCGUGGGGAUCAAACAGGAUUAGAUACCCUGGUAGUCCACGCCCUAAACGAUGAAUACUCGCUGUUAGCGAUAUACAGUUAGCGGCUAAGCGAAAGCGUUAAGUAUUCCACCUGGGGAGUACGCCCGCAAGGGUGAAACUCAAAGGAAUUGACGGGGGCCCGCACAAGCGGAGGAGCAUGUGGUUUAAUUCGAUGAUACGCGAGGAACCUUACCCGGGCUUGAAAGUUAGUGAAUCAUUUAGAGAUAGAUGAGUGAGCAAUCACACGAAACUAGGUGCUGCAUGGCUGUCGUCAGCUCGUGCCGUGAGG
rnacentral:rRNA from 1 species